rnacentral:rRNA from 1 species
CUUGAUGCAGUCAUGCGCAGUAUGAAGAACGCUCGGUUGUAAGUACUUUCAGCGGCAGACGGAAGUAAAGUAUACUUGCUCAUGACGUAAUCUGCAGAGAUGCACUGGCUACUUCGUACAGCAGCGCGUUAUACGAAGGUGCAAGCGUAAUCAGAAUACUGGGCGUAAGCGCACGCAGCGUUUGUUAAGUCAGAUGUGAAAUCCCUGGCUCAACCUGGGAACUGCAUCUGAUACUGGCAAGCUUGAGUCUCGUAGAGGGGGGGUAGAAUUCCAGGUGUAGCGUUGAAAUGCGUAGAGAUCUGGAGGAAUACCGGUGGCGAAGGCGGUCUCUCCUGGACGAAAGACUGACGCUCAGGUGCGAAAGCGUGGGGAGCAAACAGGAUUAGAUACCCUGGUAGUCCACGCCGUAAACGAUGUCGACUUGGAGGUUGUGCCCUUGAGGCGUGGCUUCCGGAGCUAACGCGUUAAGUCGACCGCUUGGGGAGUACGGCCGCAAGGUUAAAACUCAAAUGAAUUGACGGGGGCCCGCACAAGCGGUGGAGCAUGUGGUUUAAUUCGAUGCAACGCGAAGAACCUUACCUGGUCUUGACAUCCACGGAAGUUUUCAGAGAUGAGAAUGUGCCUACGGGAACCGUGAGACAGGUGCUGCAUGGCUGUCGUCAGCUCGUGUUGUGGAAUGUUGGGUUAAGUCCCGCAACGAGCGCAACCCUUAUCCUUUGUUGCCAGCGGUCCGGCCGGGAACUCAAAGGAGACUGCCAGUGAUAAACUGGAGGAAGGUGGGGAUGACGUCAAGUCAUCAUGGCCCUUACGACCAGGGCUACACACGUGCUACAAUGGCGCAUACAAAGAGAAGCGACCUCGCGAGAGCAAGCGGACCUCAUAAAGUGCGUCGUAGUCCGGAUUGGAGUCUGCAACUCGACUCCAUGAAGUCGGAAUCGCUAGUAAUCGUGGAUCAGAAUGCCACGGUGAAUACGUUCCCGGGCCUUGUACACACCGCCCGUCACACCAUGGGAGUGGGUUGCAAAAGAAGUAGGUAGCUUAACCUUCGGGAGGGCGCUUACCACUUUGUGAUUCAUGACUGGGGUGAAGUCGUAACAAGGUAAAUCGUCGACUGCAGCCGACGU